AUCACAAAUAUAUCUUAAAUAAAUCUUAAUUAAAUAUUAAUUUAAUCCUAAUUAAAAUCCUAAUAGACUUUAAUCAAAUCCUAACUAAAUUCUAAAAUUUAAAUCAAAUCCUAAAUAAAUCCUAAACUCAUAAUCAAACCCUAGAUAAAUCCUAAAUUCUUAAUCAAACCUUAAUCAAAUCCUAAUAAAAUCCUAGAAAAAUUCCAAAUCCUAAUAAAAUCCUAACCAAAUCUAACCCUUAAAUCUUAAUCCAAAUCCUAAUCAAAUUCUAAAUAAAUCCUAG
rnacentral:lncRNA from 1 species